rnacentral:lncRNA from 1 species
UUUUUUUUAUUAGACUUCCUCAAUUAUGAAUGUAUCAUAUAUCACUAUCUAGCACUUACCAUAUCUGCAGUUCAUUCCAAUGUAGUCUUUCUAUUUUUAUUAAUCAUAAUAAUAGUAACUCUUAUCAUUCCAAUUAAUUACAAUUUUUGCUACAUAACUAUUAAUAUGAGUGUAAAUAUAUUCUGUAGUUAAAUAAGUUAUAUUAAUCAAUUAUAUAAUUAUUCAUCAAGACAUAUACGUCAUAGCCAAUUAACAAACAAUAAAACAUUGAAUAAAAACGUGGAGAAGGGAGAUUGGAAUUUCCAAAAUCCUUAUGAGGCUUUAAUUAAGUCCACUGGGUGCUCGGACCCAAUCGAUAGUGGCUUAACUUCACACUUCAAGUCCGAUGUUGGCUUUGAAGAGGAUAUUGUGGUUUGAAACGCUCGGGAGACUGUUUCAGCCUCAGGUUUUGCGGCUGGUUGGGUUAGGAGUGUGGCCUGCUUGACAGCAGGAAGGGAUUCAAGAACAACAGAGGGGAAGGCCCAACUUUAUUAGUGAUGGGAAUUUGACAGGUCUCACAUUUGAGACGAAUUCUUGAGAGGAACCCUCAGAAAUAUACAUGUCUCCAAGAUGGAGCCCAAUGCCAUUGAGAUUUUCAUUUAAGCUUGCAAGGACUUCAUUCCAGUCCUCCUGUUUCAUAGCAAGCUUUAAAAGAUCCUCCAAAUCUUGGUAGUGAUUCCAACGUGCCAUAAUGUCUAUAAACGAAGAAAAGUCAUAUGGUGAAGGGUGCUGAGAAAGCUAAGGAGCUAACGGUGUUCCGUUGUAUAAGUUUUUCCCAAAUGUCAGACUCCAGAAGAGAAAAAAACAAAACACUAAGCACUUAAUAACACUAAAUACACUAAAGUAGGUUUGGUGAUUUAAGAUGUAGCUAUUAGCUAAGCACCCAUAGCUAUUACGAGGUAUUUUUAUUGGCAGUUUGGCAUAGUAAGGCAGUGGUAGAUUAAAAUAUUUUGUCUGCUAGUUUGAAGGGAAGUUAUUUUCAACGUCAGCAAUGGAUAAGCAGAUGAUUGAUUCACUUUUUAUAACGUCAUCAUAUUGGAUUAUAAUUUCCCCAGUUGGGAUUAUGCAUAGUUAUUUUUACUCACGUCAUACAUUAAAUUGAAUUAUCAAUAAUAACGAAACGCAAAAUGAAGCGAUUGCCAAUAAAUCUGGAAGAAAUUAAAGUUACAAUAUCAUACAUUGGUUCAAAUACUCUUUUGUCAGACCCUCUGCUAUGGAAUCGUUGAAUAUUUAUAUAAUAACUGAGGAGUAAUACUGGAAUGAAAUAUAUAGCGAGGA